rnacentral:rRNA from 1 species
UACGUAGGGUGCGAGCGUUGUCCGGAAUUAUUGGGCGUAAAGGGCUCGUAGGCGGUUUGUUGCGUCGGGAGUGAAAACCUCGGGCUUAACUCGGGGCUUGCUUUCGAUACGGGCAGACUAGAGGUAUGCAGGGGAGAACGGAAUUCCUGGUGUAGCGGUGAAAUGCGCAGAUAUCAGGAGGAACACCGGUGGCGAAGGCGGUUCUCUGGGCAUGAUCUGACGCUGAGGAGCGAAAGUGUGGGGAGCGAACAGG